AACGACCAUAUCACCUUGAAACACCAGUUCGCGAAAGAUCACCGAUUUUAAGCAACGUCGAACCUGGUCAAUAUCUAGAUGGGUGACCGCUUGGGAAUACCAAGUGCUGUAAG